GUAAAAUGUUGAACUAGAUAAGAAUUGUACAAUUCGUGAAUUUUUUUCAAUUUAUUCAAUAUAUGUGUUAUUUCUUGUUUCAGUGGCCUUGGAUAAAAGUUUACUAUUCUUUGGUGUGCAGAAUCUCCCGUGACAUUUUAUAUGGAGCAUUGUGUGAUGAUAGAUCAAUUCGUAGAGAUGUAUUUGAAAAACAUCCUCUUGUCUUGAAAAUCAGCUAUAUAAAAAUCUACAGGGACAAUGAGGACAAUCACAACUGUUUGACUUUUUAUCCAUCAAUCUCCAGAUGAUUAUCAGCGGGAUGUUCUGAACGACAAAGAAGUUAAAGUUCUUAAAUAGUAACCAAUCUUAUGAUUUCACACCUGAUACCUGGCUGUUCGGGGGACAUAUGUCAAAUAAAUAUGUGAUUAACAGCCGAAGAAAAAUCCCUAAAUCAUCAUUACUUGCCAAUACAUUGAAUAACUUUCUGGUUCCUGGCUUAAUGGAAGGAAACAAAAUAGAAAACUUUUGCAUUACACAGUUAUCUUGUAUCUGUUUUGUGCAAUUAGAAUUUGAAUCUUGAUAACAAUUACACCAAGACCACUGUUAAAUAUUUCAGUAUUCCUUUGAAAAAAUCUUUUAUGUAAAAAAGGUCUUAUUUAAUAAUUUAAUUUAUGAAUUAGAUAUACAGUACAUGUAUAAAUUUGUUUAUGCAAUUUUAGAAUAAUAUUAUAUAACAAGACUUGUUAAGUAAUUUUUUAUUAACGGCCCAUUAUGCUUCAGAAAUUAUGUCAGUUUUAUUUAAAUUUUUGAAAACAGUUUCAAAAAAUAAACCUUUUGCCAUAUACAUAAUUUAAAGAUAGUGAUGCUGAUUUUUUAUGCUCCCCGAAAAAUUUCGGGGGAGCAUAUAGUCGGCGCCUUGUCCGUCUGUCCGUCCGUCCGUCUGUCCGUCCGUUUUCUUGUCCGGAGCAUAACUUGAAGACCCUUGGAGAUAAUUUGGUUAAACUUCAUACAGUGGUAGAGGGCAUUGAGGGGGAGUGCAGUGUCAAAGAACCAUAACUCUAUUCUGCCCGGUUUUUGAAUUAUCUCCCCUUAUAGAAAAAUCUUGUCCGGGGCAUAACUCUAAAACUAUAAGAGAUAUCAACAUGAAACUUUGUAGGUGAAUAGAUCUCAGUGGGUAGAUGUGCAGUGCAUAAGAACAAUAACUCUUUUUGUCCUAAUUUUGGAGUUAUUGCUCUUUGUUAAUUUCAACACUUUGAACUUUGUCCGGAACAUAACUCUCAAACUAUAAGAGAUAUCAAGAUGAAACAUUGUAGGUAGAUAGAUCUCAUUGAGUAGAAGUGCAGUGCAAAAGAACCAUAACUCUGUUAAGCCUUAUUUUUUAAUCAUCUCCCCUUAUAGAAAAAUCUUGUCCGGGCAUAACUCUAAAUCUAUAAGAGAUAUCAACAUGAAACUUUGUAGGUGAAUAGAUCUCAAUGGGUAGAUGUGCAGUGCAUAAGAACAAUAACUCUUUUUGUCCUAAUUUUGGAGUUAUUGUCCUUUGUUAAUUUUAACACUAAACAUUGUCCGGAACAUAACUCUAAAAUUAUAAGAGAUAUCAAGAUGAAACAUUGUAGGUAGAUAGAUCUCAUUGAGUAGAAGUGCAGUGCAAAAAAAACAUAACUCUGUUAAGCCUCAUUUUUGAAUUAUCUCCCCUUUUAGAAAAAUCUUGUACUGGACAUAGCUGUAAAACUAUAAGAGAUAUCAACAUGAAACUUUGUAGGUAGAUGUAUCUCAAUGGGUAGAUGUGCAGUGCAUGAGAAUCAUAACUCUGCCUUGCCUAAUUCUGGAGUUAUUGCCAUUUGUUUAUUUUUACUUUUUGAAGUUGUCCGGAACAUAACUGGAAAACCAUAAGAGAUAUAAAAAAGAAACUUUGUAAGUUGAUAGAUAACAGUGAUUAGAAGUGCAGUGCAAAGAACAGUAACUCUGCCUUUCCUAAUUUUGGAAUUAUUGCACUUUGAACUUUUUCCAGGGACAUAACUCAGAAAACUACAAGAGGUGUACUUUCCUGUGUCCAAAACCUAUUCGGGGAGCAUCACCCGGCUCAAACCGGGCUCUUGUUUGUUUAGGCAAUUGGUAUAAUUAAAGUGAAUCAAAAGUAGUAUGAUAGUCAAAAUACUACUAAAAGUGUAAUGUCCCCUUCGAAAAAGAGUGUUUUGCUAAUGUCAGUCUGUCUGUUGGUCUGUCCGUCGGUAGACCACAUAGUUUCCGCUGAAUAUCUUGACAACUGUUUAUCACAGAGUCUUCAUAUUUCACAUAGUGAUUGGCAAUAACUAGUUGAUGAUCACUAUUGAUUUUAAGUCACUUGGUCAAAGGUCAAGGUCACAGGAGCCAUAAAUGUCAAAAUGGUUUCCGUUGAUAAUCUUGAAAAGCAUUUAUCACAAAUUUGUCAUAUUUUACUUAAUGAUUGGCCAUAGUUAGUAGAUGACGCCUAUUUAUUUUGGAGUCACUUUGUCAAAGGUCAAGGUCACAGGAGCCAUAAAUGUCAGAAUGGUUUCCGUUGUUUAUCUUGAAAAGUAUUCAUCACAAAGCCUUCAUAUAUCAUUAUUGAUUGGUCAUAACUAGUAAAUGACCCCUAUUGAUUUUAGGGUCACUAGGUCAAAGGUCUAGGUCACAGGGGCCUUGAAUGGUAGUAUGAUUUCUGCUUAUGAUCUUGAAUACUAUUUAUCACAAAGUCACAUAGUGAUUGAUAAUAACCAACAGGUAUUGCUUUUGGGGUCACUAGGUCAAAGGUCAAGGUCACAGAGGCCUUUAAUGUCAGAAUGGUUUCCACUUAUUAUCUUAAAAUCUAUUUAUCACAAAUUCUUCAUAUUUCACAUACUGGUUGGUUUAAUAACUAGUAAGUGACCCCUUUUGAUUUUAGGGUCACUAGGUCAAGGUCAUAGGGUUCUUGAAUAUAAGAAUUGUGUCCGCUCAUUAUCUUGAAAGCCAUUUAUCACAAAGUCUUCAUAUUUCUAAUAUUGAUUGGUCAUAAUAAUAAGAUGACCCCGAUUGGUUUUGUGUCACUAGUUCAAAGGUGAAGGUCACAGGGGCCUUAAAUGUCUCAUUAUCUUGCAAAUUAUUUAUCAUAAAGUCUUCAUUAUUUUUGUUUUUCCAUCAUUGAACAUUUCCAUGUACCCAUUUAUGGAAAGUUUCUAUAACAAAAUUACCAAUAAUAUGAGUCAAGGGCUAGAAAAGGGGGCAUAUAUGUCGUUCGACAUUUCUUGUUUACAAUUUAUUACCUUUAAUACACAUUACUGCAGGUUCAGUGCUAUUUUCACUUGUUAAACAUCUAACAUGCUCUUGAAACAUUAUUAAAACAUUAUUUAAGAAAUGCUUGACUUUUCUGGAGAAUAUUUAUUUUCUGAGGCAUAAUGUGCCUUGUUAGUAUAGCGCAGUGUUUGUUGCGUAUGGGAGUUGCGUUUAUUGAACGCCGCCUUUCCUUGUUGAUCAAGUUUAUCAUAUUUUGUUAAUUUGCCUUAAGGGUAUUACAAAUGUAUUGUUUUGUAAAAAGUUUUUGAAGUGUGUAUGAUAUUUACAGAUUUGUUUUUUUACAGUUUCGCUCUUCUUUGUAAUAAUUUUCUGAACAAACAUUCACGUAAAUUGUUUUUAUUUUUGUGAUACACGGAAAUUAUGUAUAUGAAAAUACAUUAUAAUUCAUAAUGAUUUUGACAGGUUUUAUUGCCCAGUAUAACAAGCUUAAAGUAUAUAAGCUGAGUCACCAAAUGAUGGUUAUAUAACAAACAACAUUUUGUGCACAGCCAUACUACAUGUUAUAAGUCUUUAUAACCAAAUAAUAAUUUUGUUAUCUUGCUCCCUUUGCUUUGAAACAAUUAAUGGUAAUAUGCAUUUGCAGUGUAUAUUUUUAGUUAUAAAGAUUCUGAAUUUGCACAUAUAAUCUGAGCUGAUAGGUGAAAAUUAAAUAACUGUUUAAAUAUGGCUAUAUAACCUAUAAGUAAUUUGAUAAUGAAUUUAUAAUACAGCAAAGUUCCUUCAUUACAGAAAAUAAAUAGUUAAUAAAUUGACAGAGAGGUGUAUAUAGUAUAUAUAAACGUCAUGAUUAUCCAAUGAAAAGUGAUGUUUCCAGCAUACAGUAAUGUUUCAUUAAACUGUAUAUUUGAGUUACCAUGUAUUUAUUUUUAGCUAGUGUAUGUAUUAUUUUAUUUAUAAAUAAUCUUUGUUUGUGGAGUGAUAUCACUUUAAAGCUACAAGCCUCAUAGAUAAGGAGUGCUUUCGAAUAGUGUACAAUUUAGAGAUAAAUUUGAUAACAAUAUUAGCAGACUUUAGUAUUAUUGAUAAUACAUAGUCAUUUCUGAACAAUAGCAAUAUCAAAUUGCACGUUUUGUCUAAUCUGUACAUAAUAUGUGUAAUGGAUAGAUAUGAUAGGAAUAGCAUGCAAUUCAAGCAGUUACUUUUAGAUUCAUGCUUUUUUUUUUCAUGAAAAUUUUGAAAUUGUAUUUAAAGUUAAAUAUUGUGAAGUGAAAAAAGUAAUUGACACAUUGCAAACAGCGCCUAUAAUCCACGUAAAUUACCAAAAAGAACUAUGUUGUAAUGCCCCUCCUUACAUGUAAGCUAGUAACGAAGAAGUAUGUUGAUGUAACAUUCUGUAUUUAAAUAUGUCAUUAAUCAUACAAAACAUGUAAAUUAAUAAUUUAAUCCUAUAUAUUUUUACUUUUCUUUAAAUCCUGGUACAAUAUUUUCAAAUUUUAUUUUAUUGAAAUAUUUUAGCAUCAUCUGGAGACAUGCAGCUUUAAAGAGUUGAAUAUAUUUUUUAUUUGAAUUCGUUUAUAUAGAUAUGCUUAUUACAUAAAUUUCUGUGUUAAUAUCUGAGUGUAUAGAAAGUUAGAUAAUAAGAGGAAAUGUUUUCGGUUGAAUGAAAUAUUUUUAAUAUAUUUUCACAAAACAUGAUGAAAUUCCAUAUAUUUCACGAGCCAGAAAGGCGAGUGAAAUAUAUAGAAUUUUAUCAUGUUAAGUGCAAACAUAUUCUAUAUUUCACGAAAAAAUAACCUUUUUAUUUAGUUUUUCUUGGAAGAAUAAAAGUGGUUUACGAAUACACCUAUUUAUCAUGCAGUUGCAAUUGUACAGAGUGCAGUCAUGCAUUGAUUAUUUAUAGGUGCAUGAAGCGGUUCGAAUUCAAUACAAAAUUUAUCGUAGCCAUUAAA